GCGAACGCUGGCGGCAGGCUUAACACAUGCAAGUCGAGCGGGCAUCUUCGGAUGUCAGCGGCAGACGGGUGAGUAACACGUGGGAACGUACCCUUCGGUUCGGAACAACUCUGGGAAACUGGAGCUAAUACCGGAUACGCCCUUAUGGGGAAAGGUUUACUGCCGAAGGAUCGGCCCGCGUCUGAUUAGCUAGUUGGUGGGGUAACGGCCUACCAAGGCGACGAUCAGUAGCUGGUCUGAGAGGAUGAUCAGCCACACUGGGACUGAGACACGGCCCAGACUCCUACGGGAGGCAGCAGUGGGGAAUAUUGGACAAUGGGCGCAAGCCUGAUCCAGCCAUGCCGCGUGAGCGAUGAAGGCCUUAGGGUUGUAAAGCUCUUUUGUCCGGGACGAUAAUGACGGUACCGGAAGAAUAAACCCCGGCUAACUUCGU
rnacentral:rRNA from 1 species